ACUAGAGUAGCACUCGCAUAUCAAUAAGCGGAGGAAAAGAAACUAACAAGGAUUCCCCUAGUAACGGCGAGCGAAGCGGGAAGAGCUCAAAUUUGAAAUCUUAAAGGGUUUCCCUUUACGAAUUGUAGUUUAAAGAAGUGUUUUCUGUUGAGGUUUUGGUAAAAGUUCUUUGGAAUAGGACAUCAUAGAGGGUGAGAAUCCCGUAUUUGACCUUUACUUUCAACUUUGUGAUACACUUUCAAAGAGUCGGAUUGUUUGGGAAUGCAGUCCAAAAUGGGUGGUAAAUUUCAUCUAAAGCUAAAUAUUGGCGAGAGACCGAUAGCGAACAAGUACCGUGAGGGAAAGAUGAAAAGAACUUUGAAAAGAGAGUUAAACAGUACGUGAAAUUGUCAAAAGGGAAGCGUUUGACACCAGUGUUGUUUUUCUGAAAAUCAAUUAAAGAACUGUUUAUGCUAAGUUGUUUAGACUUUAUCAGCUAAUCUGUUUAGUUUUGAGCUUUUCUUUAAUGCACUUUUCAGUUAACAAGUCAACAUCAAUUUCUUUUGCUGUAAAAAAGCUUGAGGAAGGUGGCUUGAGAUUCGUCUUAAGUGUUUAUAGCCUCUUGCCUAUGCAGUCGGAGAGAUUGAGGUCUGCAGCGUAGAUCCUUCGGGGCUAAAUGCAUUUGUGCUAAGUUAUAGCAUUUUAUAGACAACUUGUUGACUAUGAUUUGUCUUGUAGCUUACUCGCUUAUGUUAUUUUACCUACGCUUAGGAUGUUGAGCGCAUGUCUCUCUCU
rnacentral:rRNA from 1 species